rnacentral:rRNA from 1 species
ACUCAAAUGAAUUGACGGGGGCCCGCACAAGCAGCGGAGCGUGUGGUUUAAUUCGACGCAACGCGCAGAACCUUACCCAGGCUUGACAUGGAGCUGCAACCCGUGGAAACACGGUCGCCUUCGAGGGUGCUCCACAGGUGCUGCAUGGCUGUCGUCAGCUCGUGUCGUGAGAUGUUGGGUUAAGUCCCGCAACGAGCGCAACCCCCGGGGCCUGUUACACGUGUCAGGCCCAACAGCCGGUGCCAACACCGGAGGAAGGCGGGGAUGACGUCAAGUCCGCAUGGCCCUUACGUCUGGGGCGACACACACGCUACAAUGACCGGGACAAUGCGUUGCCAGCCCGCAAGGGUGCGCCAAUCGCCUAAACCCGGCCUCAGUUCAGAUUGGGGGCUGCAACUCGCCCCCAUGAAGGCGGAGUUGCUAGUAACCGCCGGUCAGCCAUACGGCGGUGAAUCUGUACCCGGGCCUUGUACACACCGCCCGU